rnacentral:rRNA from 1 species
AUUGAACGCUGGCGGCAGGCCUAAUACAUGCAAGUCGAACGAGUGGCGGACGGGUGAGUAAUGUCUGGGAAACUGCCUGAUGGAGCGGGAUAACUACGGGAAACGGUAGCUAAUAGCGCAUACGACCGGUUCUGCCCAGAUGGGAUUAGCUAGUGGGUGGGGUAACGGCUCACCUAGGCGACGAUCCCUAGCUGGUCUGAGAGGAUGACCAGCCACACUGGAACUGAGACACGGUCCAGACUCCUACGGGAGGCAGCAGUGGGGAAUAUUGCACAAUGGGCGCAAGCCUGAUGCAGCCAUGCCGCGUGUAUGAAGAAGGCCUUCGGGUUGUAAAGUACUUUCAGCGAGGAGGCGUUACUCGCAGAAGAAGCACCGGCUAACUCCGUGCCAGCAGCCGCGGUAAUUC